AAGGAAUAUUGGUCAAUGGACGCAAGUCUGAACCAGCCAUGCCGCGUGAAGGAUGAAGGUCCUCUGAAUUGUAAACUUCUUUUAUAGGGGACGAAAUCUAUUUUUCUAAGUCGUCUGACGGUACCCUAGGAAUAAGCACCGGCUAACUCAGUGCCAGCAGCCGCGGUAAUACGGAGGGUGCAAGCGUUAUCCGGAUUCACUGGGUUUAAAGGGUGCGUAGGAGGGCAGGUAAGUCAGUGGUGAAAUCUCCGAGCUUAACUUGGAAACUGCCAUUGAUACUAUCUGUCUUGAAUAUUGUGGAGGUGGGCGGAAUAUGUCAUGUAGCGGUGAAAUGCUUAGAUAUGACAUAGAACACCAAUUGCGAAGGCAGCUCGCUACACAAAUAUUGACUCUGAGGCACGAAAGCGUGGGGAUCAAAC
rnacentral:rRNA from 1 species